rnacentral:rRNA from 1 species
AUUGAACGCUGGCGGCAGGCCUAACACAUGCAAGUCGAGCGAGCGGCGGACGGGUGAGUAAUGUAUGGGGAUCUGCGUGAUGGAGGGGGAUAACUACUGGAAACGGUCGCUAAUACCGCAUAACAUAAGAUGAACCCAUAUGGGAUUAGCGAGUAGGUGGGGUAACGGCUAACCUAGGCGACGAUCCCUAGCUGGUCUGAGAGGAUGAUCAGCCACACGGGGACUGAGACACGGCCCAGACUCCUACGGGAGGCAGCAGUGGGGAAUAUUGCACAAUGGGCGCAAGCCUGAUGCAGCCAUGCCGCGUGUAUGAAGAAGGCCUUCGGGUUGUAAAGUACUUUCAGUCGGGAGGCGUUACCGACAGAAGAAGCACCGGCUAACUCCGUGCCAGCAGCCGCGGUAAUAC